GUGGGGAAUAUUGGACAAUGGGGGGAACCCUGAUCCAGCCAUGCCGCGUGUGUGAAGAAGGCCUUUUGGUUGUAAAGCACUUUAAGCGAGGAGGAGGCUACCGAGAUUAAUACUCUUGGAUAGUGGACGUUACUCGCAGAAUAAGCACCGGCUAACUCUGUGCCAGCAGCCGCGGUAAUACAGAGGGUGCAAGCGUUAAUCGGAUUUACUGGGCGUAAAGCGCGCGUAGGUGGCCAAUUAAGUCAAAUGUGAAAUCCCCGAGCUUAACUUGGGAAUUGCAUUCGAUGCUGGUUUGCUAGAGUAUGGGAGAGGAUGGUAGAAUUCCAGGUGUAGCGGUGAAAUGCGUAGAGAUCUGGAGGAAUACCGAUGGCGAAGGCAGCCAUCUGGCCUAAUACUGACACUGAGGUGCGAAAGCAUGGGGAGCAAACAGGAUUAGAAACCCGGGUAGUCC
rnacentral:rRNA from 1 species